rnacentral:lncRNA from 1 species
GGGCUCUCUUCCCCCACAUGGAGCGCAGUGGCUCCGCGAGUGAUGGCUUUUUAUAGCCUGCACAGGUGGUUGUGCUGCAAGCCCCUUUCUGGAAGGCAGAGUGCUCUGCUCCUCACCCCUGCUGGGAGAAACCUGUUAAGAGAGAAGAGAAGCUCAAAUAAAUGACUUGCCUUCUCCUGGGAACUGAAAGUGCAUUGACAUUUUCAAGGUUUUCCUUACUGGAGAUCAGAUAUUGGACUGAAUCCAUUCUAACAGGUAAAUCACACAGCCAUGGAGGCACCCACAUCUUUGGCUCAGAUGAAGCUGCCAGAGUGACCCACUGGGUCCAGCGCAGAUGCCCUCAAUUCAAGAGAUGGGUCUGGAGCUGGGCAGGUGUGGAGGGGGGUCUGGUCCAAGACUAAGUCCCUGAAUCACCCCUGGGAAGAGAGCGGCCAGGCCUUCUGGAGCAAGGCUCGGAUGAUGCAAGCAGUGUGACUCCUGUGUCCUUGCAGAGCUGGGGCCUGGCCAGGCAGCAUGACCUUCUUUUCCAACUGAACGGCCACUCCUGAGUGUCUGUCUCACGGGCAGACAGCCUUUCUGCCUAGAGAAAAGCAUUUGGUCAGGGUCCAAACUGUGUCC